rnacentral:tRNA from 1 species
GUGGCCGUAGCUCAGUCUGGUUAGAGCACCGGGUUGUGGUCCCGGGGGUCGCGGGUUCGAAUCCCGUCGGCCACCCCA